rnacentral:rRNA from 1 species
AGCAGCCGCGGUAAUUCCAGCUCCAAUAGCGUAUAUUAAAGUUGUUGCAGUUAAAAAGCUCGUAGUUGAAUUUCGGAAUCGACGGAUUGGUCGCGCCUUCGGUGUGUACUGGUCUUGCCGGUUUCUCCCUUCUGACGAACCACGAUGUCAUUAAUUUGGUGUCGUGGGGAAUUAGGACUGUUACUUUGAAAAAUUAGAGUGUUUAAAGCAGGCAUUAGCUUGAAUACAUUAGCAUGGAAUAAUGAAAUAGGACGUUUGAUCUUAUUUUGUUGGUUUCUAGGAUCGACGUAAUGAUUAAUAGGGAUAGUUGGGGGCAUUAGUAUUCAAUUGUCAGAGGUGAAAUUCUUGGAUUUAUUGAAGACUAACUACUGCGAAAGCAUUUGCCAAGGAUGUUUUCAUUAAUCAAGAACGAAAGUUAGGGGAUCGAAGACGAUCAGAUACCGUCGUAGUCUUAACCAUAAACUAUGCCGACUAGGGAUCGGAUGAUGUAUUUUUUAAUGUACUCA